rnacentral:RNase_P_RNA from 1 species
UAGGCAUAGUAGGUGGUUGCUUUUGCAGACGCAAAAGAGGAAAGUCCGAGCUACUUAAGACAGGAUUCCAUUUAACAAAUGGCUAGGGUAACCUAAGGGAAAGUGCAACAGAAAAUAACCGCUUUUGUUUAUGAUAAAUAAAAGUAAGGGUGAAAAGGUGGGGUAAGAGCUUACCGAUUUUGCAGUAAUGCUAAAUGUCCAUGCAAACCCAAUCCGUAGCAAGAAGAGUAUGGUUAAAGUCUUAAAUAUGAACUCUUCGCUUGAGGUAUGUUGCAAAACAUAUCCUAGAUAAAUAGCCACCCACGACAGAACUCGGCUUAUCGCUAUGCCUCCCCC